GGAGCCGCGGUCCCGCCUCCCCGGGAGGAGCCGGGCCUGGAGCCGCAGCGAGCCCGGGGCCUGCGGGCCGGGGACAGCACUGACCUCGCCGCCGGCCCGGCCGCCUCCGCUGCGGGAUGUUUCUGGUUGGUGCACCUCAUGGGCUGCAGUCCUGGACCUGCCUGGAAAAUUGGGUAGUAUCAUCCCUGUAGACCCCCAAGGGUCUCUACUUUUGAAGAUCCUGCUUUGCAAGGAAAUAAAUCUUCCUCAAAAAGGAAUUUGGUGUCAAUGAGCUGCAAGUGUCCCUCCCAGAGGUCUCAUGAGAGCAGGGAAGGGACAGGAUAUCCGAGUACUUGUGUUCUGGCAGGCACCAAAAGUGUGCAUGAGUGAUGGCUCACUUGAAGCCCUCCCCAAGAAAAUGGCAUCCUUGGAGGAUACGCUUCAGCAGACCCCAGGGAUCCCAGUUUGGCUCCAUGGGAAGCCAGCUUUCCAUAGCUCUGGUCCGAACCCCUCGGUGCACCAGGACAUCCCCACAUCCCCACCUGCACCGUCAGCUCCGGCACUCGGGGUGCUCGCACAGGGCCCAAGAAGCACGUUCACGGUAUAAACUGGGCUGGUUGGGGGUGAGGCACACACCGAGGCACUGUGGGUGGGAGCAGCAUUCCCUGUGGAUGAUCUCCAGCUGCUUCCGGCCUCUUCUCCCCCAUGCUGGAUAAUUUCGCUGUGCCAAGUGUGUAAUUAUCGCCUCUGCCAUCUCCCGGGCUGGGCCGCGGGAGCAGGUGGGAGGAUGUUUGUUCUGAGUCCCACCAGCUGGGUGCUGGGAGCCGCAGGAAGGGUGAUGGGGAAGCAAGCGGUGGGGGAAGUGAUGGUGGUUGGGAUGUGUGAGGUGCUAAUGUCCCUCUCCAGGAGGGAAUUAGCAGGGAGAAACCUCCAAACUGUCCUCCUGGCUGCAAGGGGAGGGUGUCCUGGUGAUGCCAGCGCUGCCAGCUGGGAAAAGACAGGGAUGUCAUGGCACAGUGGGAGGAGGAAUGGGUCUGACUGAAGGAUGGAUGGUGAGGAGGUGCAGAGGGAUGAACUGUCUUGCUGGCUCCUCAUUCAAGGUCAGCAGAGCUGGGCUGUCAUGGACAUGUCUCUUGUCACCCCAGUGAAGGCACGUGCUGCAGGAUCCAGUGUCCUGCCACCAGCUCAGUUUAGGGUAGCAAAUCACACUUGAGCCUCCAUGCCAUUUCCACUGCCAAAUUCCCUGUCCAUGGAAGUUUUUCCAUGUGAGAGGGAAAGAAGAUGUUUUGGGGCCCCUCUGUGCUGGCCUUCAUCCCACCUUGAACACAUCCCUGCAGCUGUGAAGGAGACAAAGAGGGCUUUCUGCAAAGGCAGGAUUUUGUGUCCCCAUCCCUCCCCUUCUCCCCAUGACAUGCCUUUUAUCCAGCUCUCCCUUUCUGAGCGCUGAGCUCAGGAAGAGGACAUUGCCCUCAGCUUUCUCAAGUCCCUUUUCAGCAUGAACUCCCUCAGUGUCCUUUGCAAUCCCACCACAGUCCCAAGAGGCCCCUGAUGGAUAUGGAGUUGCAUCAUGGUGAAGGAUGCUGAAUGUGUGUUAGCAGGACACUGUGGCUUGGCAAGAUGCACUUUGUUCAGGAGCAUUUCAAAUUUCAAACACAACCCGGGAAAUUCCCAACAUGUGGAAAUCUGGGGCAGGGAGUGCUGUUGGGUGGUUUUCCCUUAGAAAUGGGACAUUGGUUGGGAAAUGGCAGUCUGGUAACUUCAGCACAGAGGAACAGCUCUCCUUGCAAGACCAGGAAAAAGUUUCCAGGCCAAAUGAUUGGUUUCCUUGCUGGGAAAAUAAAAAUCUUGUUCAGA